rnacentral:rRNA from 1 species
GGGCUAGCUUACCAUGCAGUCGAGCGGUAAGGCCUUUCGGGGUACACGAGCGGCGAACGGGUGAGUAACACGUGGGUGAUCUGCCCUGCACUUCGGGAUAAGCCUGGGAAACUGGGUCUAAUACCGGAUAUGACCUCCUAUCGCAUGGUGGGUGGUGGAAAGAUUUAUCGGUGCAGGAUGGGCCCGCGGCCUAUCAGCUUGUUGGUGGGGUAAUGGCCUACCAAGGCGACGACGGGUAGCCGACCUGAGAGGGUGACCGGCCACACUGGGACUGAGACACGGCCCAGACUCCUACGGGAGGCAGCAGUGGGGAAUAUUGCACAAUGGGCGAAAGCCUGAUGCAGCGACGCCGCGUGAGGGAUGACGGCCUUCGGGUUGUAAACCUCUUUCAGCAGGGACGAAGCGCAAGUGACGGUACCUGCAGAAGAAGCACCGGCUAACUACGUGCCAGCAGCCGCGGUAAUACGUAGGGUGCAAGCGUUGUCCGGAAUUACUGGGCGUAAAGAGUUCGUAGGCGGUUUGUCGCGUCGUUUGUGAAAACCAGCAGCUCAACUGCUGGCUUGCAGGCGAUACGGGCAGACUUGAGUACUGCAGGGGAGACUGGAAUUCCUGGUGUAGCGGUGAAAUGCGCAGAUAUCAGGAGGAACACCGGUGGCGAAGGCGGGUCUCUGGGCAGUAACUGACGCUGAGGAACGAAAGCGUGUGUAGCGAACAGGAUUAUAUACCCUGGUAGUCCACGCCGUAAAACGGUGGGCGCUAGGUGUUGGGUUUCCUUCCACGGAAUCCGUGCCCGUA